rnacentral:rRNA from 1 species
CCUACGGGAGGCAGCAGUGAGGAAUAUUGGUCAAUGGACGAGAGUCUGAACCAGCCAAGUAGCGUGAAGGAUGACUGCCCUAUGGGUUGUAAACUUCUUUUAUAUGGGAAUAAAAUGUUCCACGUGUGGGAUUUUGUAUGUACCAUAUGAAUAAGGAUCGGCUAACUCCGUGCCAGCAGCCGCGGUAAUACGGAGGAUCCGAGCGUUAUCCGGAUUUAUUGGGUUUAAAGGGAGCGUAGGUGGAUUGUUAAGUCAGUUGUGAAAGUUUGCGGCUUAACCGUAAAAUUGCAGUUGAAACUGGCAGUCUUGAGUACAGUAGAGGUGGGCGGAAUGCGUGGUGUAGCGGUGAAAUGCUUAGAUAUCACGAAGAACUCCGAUUGCGAAGGCAGUUCACUGGACUGCAACUGACACUGAGGCUCGAAAGUGUGGGUAUCAAACAGGAUUAGAUACCCUUGUAGUC